rnacentral:tRNA from 1 species
UGGCAUAGUGAUUAAGUGCUAUGGCUGCUAACCAAAAGGUCGGUGGUUCAAAUCCACC